CUUUAUGGCGGCCGUGCGCAGGGCACCUUCGGGUGCGCCGGGUUCCUAGUACACCGGUCUGCUAACCUGCGAACGGCCGCCACCCUA
rnacentral:antisense_RNA from 1 species